rnacentral:rRNA from 1 species
UACGUAGGGUGCGAGCGUUAAUCGGAAUUACUGGGCGUAAAGUGUGCGCAGGCUGCGUUGCAAGUCGAGUGUGAAAUCCCCGAGCUUAACUUGGGAAUUGCGCUCGAAACUACGAUGCUCGAGUAUGGCAGAGGAAGGUGGAAUUCCACGUGUAGCGGUGAAAUGCGUAGAGAUGUGGAGGAACACCGAUGGCGAAGGCAGCCUUCUGGGCCAAUACUGACGCUCAUGCACGAAAGCGUGGGGAGCAAACAGG